rnacentral:tRNA from 1 species
GCGGGUAUAGUUUAGUGGUAAAACCAAGCUAAUGAUGCGGGUUCGAUUCCCGCUACCCGCU